rnacentral:rRNA from 1 species
AGAGUUUGAUUCUGGCUCAGAACGAACGCUGGCAGCGUGGAUUAGGCAUGCAAGUCGAACGGAAACCUGUGGGUUCAAGUUUUCGGACAAGAAUCCGCGGGGGAUAGUGGCGAAAGGGUGAGUUACGCGUGGGUAAUCUACCUCGAAGUUCGGAAUAACUUCUCGAAAGGGGAGCUAAUACCGGAUGUGGUCCUUCGGUGCAUAUCGAGGUGAUUAAAGGUGGGGAUCCUUCGGGACCUGUCGCUUUGAGAGGAGCCCGCGUGCCAUCAGCUUGUUGGUGAGGUAAAGGCUCACCAAGGCUUACGGCUAGCUGGUCUGAGAGGAUGGCCAGCCACACUGGGACUGAGACACUGCCCAGACUCCUACGGGAGGCUGCAGUCGAGGAUCAUUCGCAAUGCGCGAAAGCGUGACGAUGCGACGCUGCGUGGAGGAUGAAGGCCUUCGGGUUGUAAACUCCUGUCAUUCGGGAAAAAUGGUCCCGGUCAGAAUAUGAUCGGGAUUUGAUGGUACCGGAAGAGGAAGCCACGGCUAACUCUGUGCCAGCAGCCGCGGUAAUACAGAGGUGGCAAGCGUUGUUCGGAUUUACUGGGCGUAAAGGGUGCGUAGGUGGUUUCGUAUGUCGGAUGUGAAAGCCCACGGCUCAACUGUGGAAUUGCAUUCGAAACUGCGAAUCUAGAGUGCAGGAGGGGAGAGCGGAAUUCUUGGUGUAGCGGUGAAAUGCGUUGAUAUCAAGAAGAACACCGGUGGCGAAGGCGGCUCUCUGGAAUGCAACUGACACUGAGGCACGAAAGCUGGGGGAGCAAACAGGAUUAGAUACCCUGGUAGUCCCAGCCGUAAACGGUGUGCACUUGGUGUGGGGAGUGUUGACCCUCCCCGUGCCGGAGCUAACGCGUUAAGUGCACCGCCUGGGGAGUACGGCCGCAAGGCUAAAACUCAAAGAAAUUGACGGGGGCCCGCACAAGCGGAGGAGCAUGUGGCUUAAUUCGAUGCAACGCGAAGAACCUUACCAGGGCUUGACAUGCAGCUGCUUCCUCCUUGAAAGGGGAGGGUCCUUCGAGGGUGCUGCACAGGUGCUGCAUGGCUGUCGUCAGUUCGUGCCGUGAGGUGUUGGGUUAAGUCCCGCAACGAACGCAACCCCUGUGUUUAGUUGCCACUCCCGGUGAUGAAUCGGGAAGCACUCUAAACAGACUGCCUGUACAAGCAGGAGGAAGGUGGGGACGACGUCAAGUCAGUAUGGCCCUUACGCCCUGGGCUGCACACGUGCUACAAUGGUCGGUACAGAAGGAUGCAAUACCGCGAGGUGGAGCAAAUCCCCAAAACCGGCCUCAGUUCGGAUUGGAGUCUGCAACUCGACUCCAUGAAGUCGGAUUCGCUAGUAACGGCGCAUCAGCUACGGCGCCGUGAAUACGUUCCCGGGCCUUGUACACACCGCCCGUCACAUCAUGAAAGCCGUCUGCACCCGAAGUCGCUGAGCCAACCCGCAAGGGGGGCAGGUGCCGAAGAUGUGGGUGGUGAUUGGGAUGAAGUCGUAACAAGGUA